rnacentral:rRNA from 1 species
AUACGGAGGGGGCUAGCGUUGUUCGGAAUUACUGGGCGUAAAGCGCGCGUAGGCGGUCCGCGUAGUCAGGCGUGAAAGCCCCGGGCUCAACCUGGGAACUGCGUUUGAUACUGGCGGACUAGAGUCCGGGAGAGGGUAGUGGAAUUCCCAGUGUAGAGGUGAAAUUCGUAGAUAUUGGGAAGAACACCAGUGGCGAAGGCGGCUACCUGGACCGGCACUGACGCUGAGGUGCGAAAGCGUGGGGAGCAAACAGGAUUAGAUACCCCGGUAGUCC